AGAGUUUAGCUGUUUACUUUGAAGUUUGGUUGUUUGCUCUUCCCGCCAAGGAUGGAUGUCUUAAGGAGAAUACAGAGGAGAUAAUCAGUUGCCCAAGGCCACUCAGAGAGAAAGACUGCGUCUUUGUGCUUGUCUCCAGUUUCCAGAGUUUACUUGCCCUUCCUUCCUAUCUUCUGUUUUACCUGUCCUUGUAACUUUUGAAGAGAUUGCACCACAGAAACCAAGUCCUGCAAAUCUUCUGUUAACCAACUUGGCCUGGAGAAAAAUGACUUUAAUCUCAGAGACUGCAUUAAACUUUGGAAGAAGCCAAAUCAAUAAAGCCCACUCCAAAGCUUUAAGUCCUGAAGCCAGUUUGAAUGAGUACUUUGGACCUGAUCUGCCUGCUGUUGUGAUUAAAGACUGUAGUGUAAAUAACAGGUUAGUCCUAAUGCAGAGGAUGUCAUAGAGGACAAUGGAUAAAGAACUACUUUGUAGUAGUUCACAUCCAGGCACAAGUGGCUGGGAUUCAUUACUCUGACCUAGGUCAAGUGUGCUGCUGUGGCUGGGAGGCCUCAUCAUUCCCCUUACCCUAAAGGUGCAGACCUGGUGUGCCGAAGAGGUGUUUCUCCAUGGCUUCCAGAGCUGCAUUUUCUGGGGCACUUCUGUACUGACUGUCCCUCAUGGCCAAGGAAGACCGUGAUAGUCAGGUGGAGAGGAAUUUCUGAUCUUUUCUGGCAACAGGUUGAAGUAUAUUCCUGGAUUGGUGCUCUGUGUCUCUCACAGCAUCAUGUGGGAGGCCAAGAUAAGCCUCCUUGUACCAGACUUCUCCCCUUGCCCUUUGUAUUCCCAUAGCAAUGGCUUGAGCACCUGCGUUCAAGGCUGUGUGCAAUACCUGGUCCUGUGGCUUGCCCUGACCGUAUAGCUGUGCUGAAGGCAGAGAAGGAAUUGCAGGUGCUUAAGCUGCUACUUGUCAAAAGUUUACUGUUAAAUAUACAUAGACAGCAUGAGAAAUGGGGCAACUGGAGCUCUGGGAGGCUCACAGCACACAGGCAGCUUGGACACAUUCCUGGUUAACUUCCCACUUUGCUGGCCAUGUGUUUUUGGAAAGAAGGGCUCUGAAAUUUGUGCCAUCAAAUCAGAUAAAUGUAGCCUGAAGCUCUCUAGAGUUGUGGACACUCCUAUGGCUCUCAACCCAAACUGAGAAGUAAGAUUUGGGGUUAAAGGUACUUUCUGAUCUUGUGUCUCCUUCGCUGUCUCAUAUUAGCUGCCCUCUUUUCCACCCUAUU